GAGUAACGCGUGAGGAACCUGCCUCAAAGAGGGGGACAACAGUUGGAAACGACUGCUAAUACCGCAUAAGCCCACAGGUCGGCAUCGACCAGAGGGAAAAGGAGCAAUCCGCUUUGAGAUGGCCUCGCGUCCGAUUAGCUAGUUGGUGAGGUAAUGGCCCACCAAGGCAACGAUCGGUAGCCGGACUGAGAGGUUGAACGGCCACAUUGGGACUGAGACACGGCCCAGACUCCUACGGGAGGCAGCAGUGGGGAAUAUUGCACAAUGGGGGAAACCCUGAUGCAGCGACGCCGCGUGGAGGAAGAAGGUCUUCGGAUUGUAAACUCCUGUUGUUGAGGAAGAUAAUGACGGUACUCAACAAGGAAGUGACGGCUAACUACGUGCCAGCAGCCGCGGUAAAACGUAGGUCACAAGCGUUGUCCGGAAUUACUGGGUGUAAAGGGAGCGCAGGCGGGAAGACAAGUUGGAAGUGAAAUCCAUGGGCUCAACCCAUGAACUGCUUUCAAAACUGUUUUUCUUGAGUAGUGCAGAGGUAGGCGGAAUUCCCGGUGUAGCGGUGGAAUGCGUAGAUAUCGGGAGGAACACCAGUGGCGAAGGCGG
rnacentral:rRNA from 1 species